rnacentral:snRNA from 1 species
CAAGCUAGUUCUAGUCCUU